GUAAUAUUUUUUAUUUGGGCCAUUUCACCUUAACAGGAUCUUGACUUGGAUAUUCUCAUAGAAAAGUCAACACCGCAAGGAGGAAGUAUCUAUUCCGGGCCAUUUCACUUUAACAAAGAUCUUGGCUCAGAUAUUUUCAAAGAAAAGACAACACUGAAACGAGGAAGCAUAUAUUCCGGGUCAUUUUACCUUAACAAGGAUCUUGGCUUAGAUAAAGAAAAAGGCAUCACUGCAACGAGGAAGCAUUUAUUCCGGGCCAAUUCACCUUAAUAAGGAUCUUGGCUCGGAUAUUCUCAAUGAAAGGAGAACACCGCAAGGUGGAAGAAUUUAUUCCGGGCCAUUUCACCUUAACAAGGAUCUUGGCUUGGAUAUUCCGGCGAAGUAGCAUUUAUUCCAAUCAGUUGAUUCAACGAGCAAGAAGAAGUUAAAUGUAAGAGGGAGAGCUAUAGCGCCCCCAAAUCCGUGUCCCUUGAACCUCGGACCUGGUGCGUCACGAUACAUUAUCUUCAUACAUAUUCUAUAAACUAAUGCGGAAUUAUAAACAUAAAUUGUUUAUUAGACAAUGGUUUUGUAACAUUUCCUAAGGUCUACAACCUUUAUCUUAAUACAUACCUUUAAUAAUUCACAAGGUUUACAUUAUCAAUUUACGUUAGUUAUCAUAAUAGAUAAAUGUCCAUAUAAAACUAUUCUCUAUCUUUUCCUUUGCCUUUGUCCUUCUUUGAGCAUUCGGGUUAAACUGAAAUAUAUUCAUGAUAUAGCAAGGGUGAGCAACUACUUUACUCGGCAAGUUUAAAUACAAUAAAGAUAUAUAUCAUGAUUGAAAGAAAGAAUAAGCUUUCAAUUUUUCAACAAUAUAAUGAUUGUGAAAGAACAUGAAUAAAAUUUCAAUACAUAGAUGAUUGAAUUAAUAAAGCUGAGUGGUCAACGAUGACCAUGAACAAAUACUUUGGUAAUGAAGGUGAUUAGCCUUUCAUACCUGAUAAACAUAUGCAAUGUGCACUAAGUGCGAAUUAAUAAUCAUAGAUGUGGAAUAAUUAUCAAUAAUUAAAGCACUAGCAUUCUUGAAAGUUAUUAACUCGAGUUUGAGUUAGAAAACUUGCAUGUACCGUUGAUUACCGCUAAGCAAUCUACUUUAAUCUCUUAUGAAAGACAUAUCAUUAAUAAGAUUGAUCCUCCAAUUAGCAUAAUACAUUUUAUCUCACAAUACUAUUACUCAAAUAAUAAAUUAGCUAACAUUUAGCCACAUAAUCAAAAAUUGAAUAAUUUUUUUAACUCAUUAGUAAUAUUAUCAUCCCUCAAUAAUAUUACUAUCAUUUAAUCAUCAUCUUAAACUCUUGGCAAAUAUUAAUCAUUCACAAAUAUUAUUAAUCAUUUAAUAAUAUUUUAAUCAUUUACCAAUAUUAUUAACCAUUAAAUAAUAUUUUAAUUCUUAUCUGAUAUUAUUAAUUAUUUAAUAAUAGUUUAAUCAUUCACUAAUAUUAUUAAUCAAUUAAUAUUAUUUUAAUAAUCUAAUAUUAUUAAAUAUUUAAUAUUUUAAUCGCUUAUAAAGGUCUCACACAUUUUAAGAUAUAAAUAUUUUACAUCUUGAAACUUAAACCAUUUAAAUUCCAUUUUAGAAAUAUCUUUUACUUUUACUCGCAAAUUCGGAGUUUAAACAGCUAAUGCAUAGCUUUUAUAGUAAAACUUAAUAUACUAUAUUAUUUCUUUAAUUUAAAUAAUUUUUACAUCAGUUUUUUCGUUCAUGAGUCAACAAUGACUGUUGCCUCAUAUAUAAAUUUUUUAUCUCACUAGCACAUUCGCUUUAUUUUUCAUUUUACGAUUCUUUCGUUACAUAAAUCUCAGCUCAAAAAACACAUUUUGCGCACCAAAAAUUUCAAAAUAUCAUUUUUAUGAUUAAAACAAUUUUUCAAAGGUUUUACAUUCUUCGUGGCAUCACAAAAUAAUUUUAUAGGAAACUAUAGUUUUUUAUUUUACUAGAUAUGUAAUUUAUAUUUAUUACAUAUUUUUAUUGAUUUAUUUAUGCUCGAAAGAAAGUUUCUCGGCAUAAAAUAUCACUUAUAGUCAAAUCUCACCCCGUAAGACUUUAUUAGAUUUAUUGUGACUUAUUAUUUUUCCAAAACGCGAUUCGAAAUGUCGAACGUCAAAGUCGCUUGACGCGCCGACGCUCGGCGUUCGCUCGUUUACAAGUUCUGACAUGCAUAUUCGCUCAUUUUUAAUUCUCAAAGCGUAAGUCAUAUAACAGUGAAAUUUUGGGCAUGUUAUAGAUCGCAUGUUAUUGUAUUUUAGAAAAAUUUCACUGCGAAAAUGAAUCACAGAAACUCAUCCAAACAGUGCGCGAAAAGGACAUCAAACAACAGCACAACACGACGCUGCACGGCUGGGUAGGCGCUUGCAGGCGCUACCAGCAGGCACGCGCGAGCGCUGCCUGGCUGCUGCGGUUGGCCUUGCGUGCGCUUAUCCAACUAGCUACUUCGCGAUUUUCUCGCGCGUUACUCGUAACUCCGAUUAAUCUAAUUUUUGAAUAUGUUAUUCAUGGCAUACCAAAGUAGUUUUAAAAAAUAUAACCCACUAAUUUUGGACCUCAUAGGCAGCCUAAAACAGGCUCCAAAAAUGUCCUCUCAUAACAUUUUUUAAAUGUUUUCCAGCUUGACCCUCGUGUACUAAAACAGUCAUAACGUUUUUGUUUUAAAACAUUUUUAGGCGAUUCUUGAGCCUAAGUGAAGCUAACUUCCGGGACUUCAACUUCUCUUCAGAUAACAAUUCAAAAUUCCAAACCGAACAGAACAGAAAUCUGCUCUAAGUGGACAGACUGUUCUAUUUUUAGACUGCACGAUCCUCCUUCACUAAAAUGGUCAUAACUCCUUCGUUUCUCAACAUUUUUAAAUGAUUCUAGAACCCACGCCUUCGUAACUUCCUCCUCUACAACUUCCCCUACUGAUAUUUUUCUAGAUUCUAAACAUAUCAGCCCAGAAAUUCGUGCAAAGGGACUUAACCGCAUAUGUUUUCCAGUUUUGACUCAGCUACUUUAAAAUAGCAUAACUCUUUGCUCCGCAGUCGGAAUUAGUCCAUUCCGGAGUCUAUGGAAAGCUUAUUCAGUGUACUAUAACAUACAAAAAGCCCAUAAUUUUCUGGAACAUAUAACUAAUCCCGAAAUUUCCUUUUUGUGGAAGCAGUCCACUAAUUUUUCUAAGUUUUAAAAACUAUUUUGCUUCUCUCUUUCGAUCAAAUUUUUAACACCUAAAAUGGUUAGAUCUACACAUAACACAUCAUAAAAUAUGUAGAUCUAAAGUUUUUAAUUUGAAAAACUCAACUUCAUCAAACCUAAAAAUAAAAGUACGUACAUAAAGCUUGAAGUUAGGGUUUAUACCUAGAUUCAUGGCUUUCAUUCUUUUUUUCCACAGAUCAUGAAGCUAGGAGGCAUGGAAAUAUUCCUUUCUUCAUCCAUCAUGGGGCUUCCGACAUCCCUCUCUCUCUCUCUCUAUCUAUUUCUAGUUUUCUUUUGCUAACUCAUUUUCUAUCUCUUCUUGCUUGAAUAUCUAUAUAUUUUCUCUUUCUCUUUCCUAUCUUAAAGAAUUUUAGAAGAUAUGCAAGGUGGCAAAAAUUAUUUAGCAUUCUACCCGGUUCCUCUCCCUUUCUCUAUCUCUUGCAUAUCUUAGCUUCCUUGCUUUGCUAAACAAACAUUAAAUGAGCUAGGGGCUUAGGUUGACACAUA
rnacentral:lncRNA from 1 species